AUUUUCUACUUUAAUCUAAUUUGAAUUAUUCUAAACGAACUAGAAAAAUUUGAACAUACAGACUUAAUAUUUAUAAUAAUUUAAAAUUACACUUACAAUGAAUUUUAGAAUUAAAUAUAAUUCUAUUCCUUAAAACUUAUAAUUUUUUAAUUAAUACAAUAUUCUAAAUAAUAAAAUUUAAAUUUAAUUUAUUCUAAAUUUUAAAUUUCUAAUAGAAAAUAUCUAAAUUAUUUAAAAAUUUUAAAAUUAUCUCAUUAAAUUUUAAAUUUUGAAUUUAUAAAAAAAUUUAAGCAAUGAAGCUUUUAAUUUAGAAAAAAACUAUAUUCCAAAUUUCAAUAAAUGACUUAAAGAAUGUUAGGGCGUGUUUGGUUCGAAGUUGAAAUCGGAAUCGGAAUCAGAAUUAAAAUAAGCUGGAAUCGGAAUCGGAAUGACUCAUUAUCUAAUUCUGUUUGGUUCAUCACCUGAACCGGAAUCGGAAUCGGAAUGACUCAUUACCUAAUUCUGUUUGGUUCAUCACCUAAACCGGAAUCGAAAUAUAUCAUUCCCAUUAUCGGUGUUUGGUUCAGGUAGAUAUAAAAAACGUAAUCAAAUUAAUAAACUAACAUUN
rnacentral:lncRNA from 1 species